GUAGGUGGCAAGCGUUGUCCGGAUUUAUUGGGCGUAAAGCGAGCGCAGGCGGUUCUUUAAGUCUGAUGUGAAAGCCCCCGGCUCAACCGGGGAGGGUCAUUGGAAACUGGAGAACUUGAGUGCAGAAGAGGAGAGUGGAAUUCCAUGUGUAGCGGUGAAAUGCGUAGAUAUAUGGAGGAACACCAGUGGCGAAGGCGACUCUCUGGUCUGUAACUGACGCUGAGGCUCGAAAGCGUGGGGGAGCAAACAGGAUUAGAUACCCUGGUAGUCCACGCUGUAAACGAUGAGUGCUAAGUGUUGGAGGGUUUCCCGCCCUUCAGUGCUGCAGCUAACGCAUUAAGCACUCCGCCUGGGGAGUACGACCGCAAGGUUG
rnacentral:rRNA from 1 species